UACAGAGGUCUCAACCGUUGUUCGGAUUCAUUGGGCGUAAAGGGUGCGUAGGCGGUCGCGUAAGUCAGGUGUGAAAUCUCAGGGCUCAACCCUGAAACUGCACUUGAUACUGCGUGGCUCGGGUACUGGGGAGGAGACUGGAAUUUACGGUGUAGCAGUGAAAUGCGUAGAUAUCGUAAGGAAGACCAGUGGCGAAGGCGAGUCUCUGGACAGUUACCGACGCUGAGGCACGAAGGUCAGGGGAGCAAACGGG
rnacentral:rRNA from 1 species